AUUGAACGCUGGCGGCAUGCCUUACACAUGCAAGUCGAACGGCAGCACGGUAGCUUGCACCUGGUGCCGGGUGGCGGACGGGGGAGGAAUACAACGGCACAGGUACCUACGUGGGGGUUAGGCCGGAGGAAGGCGGAUUAAUACCGCAAACGCACAAGGGCUAAGGGCGGGGGCACUGCAGGCCUCGCCCUUUCGGGUUGGCCGGUGGCGAUGGCGGAUUAGCUAGUUGUAGGGGUAAAGGCCGACCAAGGCGACGAUCAGUAGCUGGUCUGAGAGGACGACCAGCCACACUGGAACUGAGACACGGCCCAGACUCCUACGGGAGGCAGCAGUGGGGAAUUUUGGACAAUGGGCGAAAGCCUGAUCCAGCAAUGCCGCGUGCGUGAAGAAGGCCUUCGGGUUGUAAAGCACUUUUGUCCGGAAAGAAAACCAUGGGCCUAAUACGGUCGGGUGAUGACGGUACCGGAAGAAUAAGCACCGGCUAACUACGUG
rnacentral:rRNA from 1 species